ensembl:snRNA U6 U6 spliceosomal RNA
CUGUUCACUUUGGCAGCACAUAUACUAAAUUUGGAAUGAUAUAGAGAAGAUUAGCAUGGCCCCUGUUCAAGGAUGACAUGCAAAUUCAUGAAGCAUUCCAUAUUUUA